GACGAACGCUGGCGGCGUGCUUAACACAUGCAAGUCGAACGAAGUGGCGAACGGGUGAGUAAUACGUGGGUAACCUGCCCUCAUUUAUGGGAUAAGCCUUGGAAACGGGGUCUAAUACCGAAUAAAGGGGGAUGGGCCAGCGGUCUAUCAGCUUGUUGGUGGGGUGAUGGCCGACAAAGGCGGUGACGGGUAGCCGACAUGAGAGGGUGACCGGGCACAUUGGGACGGAGAGACGGCACAGACGCCUACGUGAGGCAGCAGUGGGGGAGAUGGCACAAUGGGCGAAUGCCGGAGGCAGCGACGCCUCGUGGGGGAUGAAGGCUUUGGGGUGGUAAACGUCGUUCGCGAGCGAACGGGUAGGUGGAGAAGAAGGGCCUGCUAACUACGUGCCAGCAGCCGCGGUAAUUC
rnacentral:rRNA from 1 species